GAUGAACGCUGGCGGCGUGCCUAAUACAUGCCAGUCGAGCGAACAGACGAGGAGCUUGCUCCUCUGACGUUAGCGGCGGACGGGUGAGUAACACGUGGAUAACCUACCUAUAAGACUGGGAUAACUUCGGGAAACCGGAGCUAAUACCGGAUAAUAUAUUGAACCGCAUGGUUCAAUAGUGAAAGACGGUUUUGCGGUCACUUAUAGAUGGAUCCGCGCCGUAUUGGCUAGUUGGUAAGGUAACGGCUUACCAAGGCAACGAUGCGUAGCCGACCUGAGAGGCGGAUCGGCCACACUGGAACUGAGACAGGGUCAAGACUACUAAGAGAGGCAGCAGUAGGGAAUCUGCCGCAAUGGGCGAAAGCCUGACGGAGCAACGCCGCGUGAGUGAUGAAGGUCUUCGGAUCGUAAAAAUCUGUUAUUAGGGAAGAACAAAUGUGUAAGUAACUAUGCACGUCUUGACGGUACCUAAUCAGAAAGCCACGGCUAACUACGUG
rnacentral:rRNA from 1 species